AUGAACGCUGGCGGCGUGCUUUACACAUGCAAGUUGAGCGAGGCGGCCCGCAAGGGCCAGUCGAGCGGCGAACGGGUGAGUAACGCGUGGAUUAUCUGCCCUGAGGUGGGGAACAACCAGGGGAAACUCUGGCUAAUACCGCAUGAUACCGAGAGGUCAAAGGGGGCUCGCAAGGGCUCUCGCCACAGGAGGAGUCCGCGUUCGAUUAGCUAGUUGGUAGGGUAAUGGCCUACCAAGGCGACGAUCGAUAGCCGGCCUGAGAGGGUGAUCGGCCACACUGGAACUGAGACACGGUCCAGACUCCUACGGGAGGCAGCAGUGGGGAAUUUUGCGC
rnacentral:rRNA from 1 species